AAGUUCAGAUAGCCAUGCACGUCUAAGUACAAACUAAAUGAUGGUGAAACUGCAAAUGGCUCAUUACAACGGUUAUGAUGUACCCGGGAGUUCCGAUGGAUAUUUCCAGUAACACUAGAACUAAUACAUGUCCCUGCGUUUAUUAGUUUCGCACAGUCCGUCGCUGAGUCAUGGUAAACAGUUGAUCGACUCGACGUCCCGGAACAGUUUCCGCCCCAUCAGCUUCGAUGGUUGGGUAUUGGCCUACCAUUGCAACAACGGGUAACGAGGAAUUAGGGUUUGAUUUCGGAGAGGGAGCCUGAGAAACGGCUACCACAUCUACGGAUGGCAGCAGGCGCGCAAAUUACCCAAUGCAGACACUGUGAGGUAGUGACGAGAAAUAAUAAAGCGGGACUUCUGUUUCGCUAUUAUAAUGAGGAAUAACCAAAGGUCAUUCCGAUUAGCAACUGAUGGGAAAGUCUGGUGCCAGCAGCCGCGGUAAUACCAGCGUCAGUAGCAUA
rnacentral:rRNA from 1 species